GUCCCCGGGGUGUAAUGGUUAACACGCCCGUCUAACAAACGGGAGUUGCCACGUUCGAUUCCUUACUGGGACA
rnacentral:tRNA from 1 species